ACGAGUUUGAUCAUGGCUCAGAAUGAACGCUGGCGGCGUGGAUUAGGCAUGCAAGUCCAGGGGGAAAAGUUACCCUUCGGGGGAGUGAGUACACCGGCGAACUGGUUAGUAACAGGUGGGGAACGUGCCCCGAGGCCGGGGAUAACCGUCUGGAAACAGCGGCUAAGACCCGAUUCGGCCCGGCAGUCUUCGGAUAGCCGGCGCCAAAGGCGCUCCUUCGGGAGUGCCGCCGCGGGAUCGCCCCGCCCCCCGACUUAGCUAGAUGGCGAGGUAACGGCUCACCAUGGCUGCGAUCGGUAGCUGGUCUGAGAGGAUGGUCAGCAACACUGGGACUGAGAUACGGCCCAGACUCCUACGGGAGGCAGCAGUCUAGAAGCUUCCGCAAUGGGCGAAAGCCUGACGGAGCGACGCCGCGUGCGCGAAGAAGGCCUUCGGGUUGUAAAGCGCUGUCAUCGGGGAAGAGAACCCGCGAGGAGACCCUCGCGGGCGCGACGGUACCCGAGAAGGAAGCCCCGGCUAACUCCGUG
rnacentral:rRNA from 1 species